GAUGAACGCUGGCGGCGUGCCUAAUACAUGCAAGUCGAGCGAACGGACGAGAAGCUUGCUUUUCUGAUGUUAGCGGCGGACGGGUGAGUAACACGUGGAUAACCUACCUAUAAGACUGGGAUAACUUCGGGAAACCGGAGCUAAUACCGGAUAAUAUUUUGAACCGCAUGGUUCAAAAGUGAAAGACGGUCUUGCUGUCACUUAUAGAUGGAUCCGCGCUGCAUUAGCUAGUUGGUAAGGUAACGGCUUACCAGGGCAACGAUGCAUAGCCGACCUGAGAGGGUGAUCGGCCACACUGGAACUGAGACACGGUCCAGACUCCUACGGGAGGCAGCAGUAGGGAAUCUUCCGCAAUGGGCGAAAGCCUGACGGAGCAACGCCGCGUGAGUGAUGAAGGUCUUCGGAUCGUAAAACUCUGUUAUUGGGGAAGAACAUAUGUGUAAGUAACUGUGCACAUCUUGACGGUACCUAAUCAGAAAGCCACGGCUAACUACGUG
rnacentral:rRNA from 1 species